ACUCUGACCCUUAGGCUGUAUUCACAGUAGACCCUGGUUUCACUUUUCAUGGUUUUAGUUAUCUAUAGACAACCACCACCUGAAAAUAGCAAGAGGAAGGCAUCAGGGCAGUAGCUCCUCUGGGAAUAGUAAAGCACUUCUUUCUCCUGCUGCCCUGUGAAGAAGGACGUGUUUGCAUCCCCUUCCACCAUGAUUGUGAGUUUCCUGAGGCCUUCCCAGCCAUGUGGAACUGCCAGCUGCCCUUUCCCUUCAGCCAUGAGUGGCAGCAGCCCGAGGCCCUCACCACAUGCCUAAUCUUGAAGACUCCAGCCAGCAGAACUGUGAGCUAAGUGAAUCUAUUUUCUUUAUCAAUUACCCAGCCUCAAGUAUUCCUUUGCAGUAACACAAAAUGGACCAAGACAACAUCUAACUACCAAUUAUUAAUAAAAUACAGUAGCUAGAGAAACAAGUUAAACAAUACCUUGAGGAAAAAUCAACCUCAGAAUGUGGAACAUUCUGCAAGACUUAUGAUAUGGUUUCUUCCACCAGUCAUGGCAUUAAAAAAAGUGUGUGUGGGUGUGUGUGUGCUCUUUAGAAUGAAUGAAACUUUAAUGACAUAACAGCUGACUGCAAUGUGUGGACCAUAUUUAGAUCCUAAUUUACACAAACCAAAUGUGAAAAAGGUCUAGUGAUGAUCAGGAAAUUUGAACCUAGAGAGUACAGGGAGAUCACAGAGUAUGAGAUGACUUUAGGAGAAAGUCCUUAUCCAUUACAAGUCUAUUCUGAAGUAUUUAAAAGUGAAAUUUCAAGAAAUUUGAAAUUUUCUUUAAUGUUUUCAAAAAAAAGUAGGGGAUUCAAUGAAACAAGAUGGGAAAAUGUUGAUCAUUGUUGAAACUGAGUUACAGGUACAUAUAGUUUCCUUCCAGUCUCUUGAGAAUAUUUCAAUAUUUCCACAAUUAAAAAGUUAUUUAAAAGCCAACAUAUUAACCAUUAAUCUUUUUAAAGUGCAUAAAUAUCAUUACUAUAACAUAAUUUAUCUCAGUAUAAAAUGGAAAUAAUCUAAAUGUUUUACAGUAGCAAAAACUUAUUUAAAAAUAUGAUAAACUGGCUGGGUGUGGUGGCUCAUGCCUGUAAUCCCAGCAUUUUGGGAGGCUGAGGCAGGCGAAUCACCUGAGGUCAGGAGUUCAAGACCAGCUUGGCCAACAUGGUGAAACCCUGUCUCUACUAAAAAUACAAAAAUUAGCUGGACCUGGUGGCGGGUUCCUGUAAUCCCAGCUACUUGGGAGACUGAGGCAGGAGAAUCGCUUGAACUCGGGAGGCGGAGGUUGCAGUGGGCCGAGAUUGUGUCAUUGCACUCCAGCCUGGGCAACAAGAAAGAAACUCCAUCAUAGAAAACAAAAACAAAAAACCCAAAAAACAAAAAAAUAAAACUAUGAUUAAACCAAUCUGAUGGAAAUUAUGCAGCCAUUAAAAUGACAGAAAGGAGGAGGACAACAAAGAAAAAGCUUACAGAGUUGUUAUUUUUAGAAUAAAGACUAAAUCUACAUUAGAAUCAUACUCUUUAAAAUAUGUAUGAAUAUAAACAAAGAGUAGAAGAGUAAAUAAGAAAAACAGUAAGUUGAUAUGUCUUUAAAGUGUGGGUUUUCUUACUGGUACUAUGAUAUUGUUUCUGAAACAAAAUGAAUGCUGACAUAAAACAACAAAAAAUUGAUCUAGAUCUACAUAUGCUGAAAUGUAGCAAGACAGCGUUACAUUUGCUUUGGAAAUAGCAUUGGCUUUGGAGUCAGACACUCUUGGCAAGUUAUUUAAACAAUCGUACAGUCAGUUUCUUCUUUCUCCAUCUCAACAACUGAUAUAGCCACCCUUCAGGAAUGGUACAAGGAUUAGAGAUGUAAGUCCUUAGAGAUGUGAUUGAUGUGGUAACAGUAAGCGGGUGAUAGGACAACCAUCUUGGCAUCACAAUAUUCGGCACAUAGUAAACCCUCAAUAAACAGUACUUAUUACUAUUAUCAUAUUAAAGGUGGGAGAGUUCUGAGAAAAUAGAAAACAGAGAUGUGAGCUGAUGGUCAAAUUCCUGCAGACUUUUAUGGCAAUAUAGCUUUCACACACACACAAAAUGAAGAUAGGGAAAAGUAUAAUGAGGAAUUCAAAUCUUAUCAAGGCCAGUUGGAAGUACGGGUUGGCUGGAGAGGGGCUAAGACUUGUAUGAGGGACAUGCAGGGAUCACAGGCAGGCAGUGAGGAGGUAAAUAAAACCAACCUGUAGGAAAAACUGAGUUCAAACUACUCUGAAGCUUCAAGGCAAAACCUACAGGAUCAGAGGAAGAGGGAGAUAAGCAUGAAAGGAGAAAAGGAUUUAGGGUACAAGGACUGUUUGGGUACCUACAUAUGUGGCUGAGGGGUUGGGGCUUUUUGGCAGUGAGAGGCAAUCCCUACUUGGAGCUACGAUAGAUGAUACAGUUUCAGAGCUUAAAUGAACUGAAAUUCAUGUAAGAUGAUCUCAUCCUGUCUCCCCAUUCUACAAGAUGAGAAAAUAAACUUCAGAAAGGGGAGGGCCCUGGGUACCACGGCAAGGUUGUAUGGCACAGCUAUGCCUAGAAUUCUGGCUUACCCUGAAACCAGUGCUCUUGUGCCUCGUUAUGCUGCCUCCAAGGUGGAUGUCCCAUUAUCAUCACCAUGUCAAUUAUUUUUACCCACAUUUAUUAAACAAACGAAGCUCUCUGUGUCUUAAAGCAUAAAGUAUAAGCACUUAUUCUUUUCACCAAUAUCUUUCAUAUCAGACGCCCCUUACUGACUUCAAAUUAUUUUGUUGCAUGUAACAAAAGAGAAUGCAAUGAACAUUUGUUCUGCAAAUGUUCUAUCAGCACCUACUAUAUGUCAGGCACAUAAAAACAAAUGGCAUAGACACUGUUGUCAAGAAGCCUGCAAUACAGUGAAGAAUAUUAUGCACUUUGUAAUAUUCAAUGUGACAUGGAAUUAAAGAGAAUGGAGCUCAGGCUGGGUGCGGUGGCUCACUCCAGUAGUCCCAGCAUUUUGGGAGGCUGAGAUGGGCAGAUCACUUGAGCCCAGGAGUUCGAGACCAGCCUGGGUAACACGGCAAGACCCGAUCUCCACAGAAAAUAUAAAAAUUAGCAUGCACCUGUAGUCCCAGCUACUCAAGAGGCUGAGGUGGGAGGAUUGCUUGAGCCUAGGAGGUUGAGGCUGCAAUAAACCAAGAUGGCACCACUGCACUCCAGCCUGGGUAACAUAGUAAGACUUUGUCUUUAAAAAAAAAAAAAAAAAAAAAAAAAAAAACCCAGCUCAUUGGACUUAAAGGGGAGAGAAGGAAAAAAAAAAAAAAACAACAACAACAACAACAAAAAACUUCACUGAGAGAGAAUGCUGGAGCCGACCCUGAGGAAGAGUAGUUAGUUGACCAGUAGACAGCAGGACAAGAAGGUAGCCCGUUCCAAUAAUAAGAGCCUGGAGCAAAAGCUUCAUGAAAGCUGGUGAGGACUGGAACUGUGAGAAUUGCCAGAAAAUACAGCAAGCAUAAUAGUGUGGAAGUUGGGAGUGGUUUGUGAAGAGAAAAAUCCUAGUCAGGCAAGCUGGCAGAAGAGUCCAAAACAAAGGAAAAACUAAGCUCUUUUAAGUGGUAAGAAAAUGUUUUUUAAAAGGGGGAGAGAAGAAAUUCAUUUCUUGUCUGUGAGCUCUAACUAUAAUCAGGUGAUUAAAAAUGAGUCAUCACUGACUGAAGCAUAAGAAGCCUCCAGGAACAGAACAAAUUCUGGUCUCGUGCAGAUUCCAACAGCUGCUACGAAACCUAUAUUUAGGGGUGUUUGUCCUGGGGUGAGCAUACAGAUUUUGGCUUCUUGGCAAAAAUUCCUUUUGUUCCCUUUUUUCUAGAAUCAUGUCUUUUUCCCACUGGCUUUCCCCACUCUCUUGCCGUAGAGAACAGUUGUAUUUAAAUCUGAAAUUUCAGUUGAAAAAUACGUGGUCUUUAUGGUGUGAUCACUCUGGUUCUGUGUGGUCUCCAACAAAUGAUCCUUUAAAAUCAUCCAAAGAUGAGGCACAGAUGAAUAGUCCCCAAGAAGCAGAUCCUCCUUCACUAAGGAACAACCCUACAGGUAUCAAUAGUAUGAACGUAUUAGCACAAGAGAGAACUACUGAUAUGUCUACAACUCCAACUCUACUCUGAAGAACAUUUUAUGAGAGCUGCAACAUACCUUGUGUGCCCCACAGGAAAGUCAAGCAAAGUCUCUUGAGAAAAUGGGACUCUCAGAAGGAAAAAUGAGCAGGAAACUAACACUUCUGAGGGCCUACAUAGUGCUGGGCACCACUCUAAUUACCUUACUAAUAAUAGUAAUAUUUUUCUUUCCUUCUUUCCUUUUUUCCUUCUUUCAUUCAGUUUCUUUCCAUUGUCUCAUAAUAGUCUACAUACAUUAUGUCAUUUCUGUGAAGGAUGAAUUUGGAGAUUAAUGGUUACAACAAGGAGACUACCAGUGCUAGAAUCAGAUAAAACCUGUUUCUUCAAACUCCCAGAUAUAUGUGCUUUAUAAAAAGUUCUACUAUUUUUCAGAUAGCAGAGCAUUUAAAGAUACACACUGACAUGAACAUUUGGGUUUUUUUGGGGUUUUUUGUUUUUUUUUUCAGACAGAGUUUCACUCUUCUUGCCCAGGCUGGAGUGGAAUGGCGCAAUCUUGGCUCACCGCAACCUCCGCCGCCUCCUGGGUUCAAGCGAUUCUCCUGCCUCAGCCUCUCAAGUAGCUGGGAUUACAGGCAUGCAUCACCACACUCUGCUAAUUUUGUAUUUUUAGGAGAGACGGGGUUUCUCCAUGUUGGUCAGGCUGGUCUCGAACUGCCGACCUCAGAUGAUCCACCCGCCUCAGCUCCCAAAGUGCUGGGAUUACAGGUAUGAGCCACCGUGCCCACCCCACAAUUGUAUUUCUUAAAAUACAUAGUCAGCAUAAAGAAUCCUAAAUAUUCUGUGAGUUUUGCCUUGUACUUGCACACCCUUCUGUUCAAAAUUAGUAUACUUUCUGUAAUUGGGUGCUGGGAUGAGAAUGAAUCCAGGAAAGAGUUAAGAAAGUGUUAGGAAGACUCACCCACCUGGUAAACUCUCUUGAUGUGAUCUGGCAGUCCUGACCACUGAUUUACAUUCUUCUCUGCUGCAUGCUUGCCUGUGCCUAUUAGACUAUUAAAAUAUUAAUAGGGCCUUGGUAUCUCUCAUUAUUAAUUUUGGCAAGGAACGAGGACAUGCCGAGCCAUAGUAUUGAUAGAUUUGUAGAAUAUGUUAAUCAUAGCACUCAUUAUUUAGCCAAGUUACUAUUUUUUUCAGAGGGUUUUACUCCACUGAUCAUUUUUGAUAUUUAACAAUUUUUCAUCUCCAGCUAAGCACACUUGUUCCUUAGAAAUCUACUUAUGUAUGUAUUUUUAUAAUGUUUUUAUAACAAUAAUUUACUGAACAAUUGUCAUGCCCCAUCACAUAAUGACAAAAUUUUCUGAUAAAUAUCUAGAGAGUUUAGCUAAGAAAUAAGUAGAUUGUUAAAGGUGGCAUUAAAAUAAUAUAUUCCUGCUUUUGUUUUUUUUAACUUAAGAAAAUUUUUUCAGGUCUAUGGUAGAGCCAGCAAGGCCCAAGGCCAAAUUCUCAGGCCACCAAUCUCUGAGGACACUUACAGCAUUUUUUUUUUUCCAGUUUCCUAAGAGUUAUUUAUUCUUUGUCAUAAAUAGGUGAUAAUGUUUAGCAAAAAAAGAAAAAAUAUAUUUUUCAAUGGAUAUAGUCAUAAGAAUCAUCUCUUUUACUCUAUUAAUGAAGUAUGUUGACAGAUUUUCUGAUGUUACAUUCUUGGAAUGAAAUCUACCUGAUUACAAUGCAUUUUUAAAGAAAGCACACUUUUAGAUUCAUUAAGCUAAUAUUUUGUUUAAGAUUUUUAAAAAUCUAUUUAUAAUUGAAAUGGGCCUAAUUUUUCUUUUAACUAGUCUUACUCUGAUUUCAGAAUGAAUUGGGAAUCUUCACUCUUUUUCCAUUUUCUGAACAAUGUGUAAUAUACACACACAUAUGCACACACAUACUCACCCCACCCCCUCACCGACCACCCCCCAACACACAACCCACAUUGUUCAGUUUGGUAGAAAUGACCUAUAAAACCCUCAGGCUUUUUUGUUUGUUUCCGUUUUUUGGAUGAAGAGAGUUUUUAAGUAUCAUUUCAGUUUCUUUUUUUUUUUUGACAGUUUUUAAUUGUGCCUUUAUUCAACUUAGUUCAUUAAAAAUGUACUUGUUUCAAAGAUCCUAUAAAUAAAGUGACCACUCACUCAAGUGGGAUAUAGAUCACCCCUCAGCAUGUUAUUUUUUUUUUAAAAAAGCAGUAUUUCUUAUAAGGAAUCUUACUGAUCACACAGUAGUUACAAUAAUGUCAGAUAUGAUGUAUACAGUCUAAACGAGAAAGGCCAGUUAAGAAUUUACAUAAUGUAAAAAUACACAUAUUAAAAGUUAGCCAAGUGGACAGACGCAUGCAACAGGGGGAGAGCAGGUGACAGGAAGUCCUUUAACAAUCAGUAGAGGGCCCAGAUGCAAGGAAUCUGGUUUUCCCCAUUACGAUAAACAGCUUUCACUAACGUAUACAGGUAUUCCAUACACAUCUAAACACACAAGGGUCACACAUUUCAGUUUCUUUGACAUUUCCUACUCUGUUUCUUCUUGAUUUCAAAAUUGGUAGUUUUGUUUUUAUUUUCCCCACAAAAAUGGCUAAUAGUAAAAAAGACUGGUACUAUCAAGUGUUGGUGAGGAUGUGGAGCAACAAAACUCUCACACAUUGCUGGUAGGAAUUUAAUUAUUAUGACUACAUAGGAACAUUCUUUGAUACUAUCUAUGAAUAUUAAACAUACAUGCACCUGAUCUCACAGCAAUUUUACUCCUGGGUAUAUUCCCAAGAUAAAUAAGUACUUAUGUCCACCAAAAGAUAGACAAAAAUGGCCAUACAGGUAUUAUUCAUAAUACUCCCAAAAUGGAAACAAUUGACAGUCUCUCAACAGUAGAAAAAAAUUGUGGUAUAUUCAUACAAUAGAAUACCACAAACGAUGAGAUAGAAUGAACUACUGCUACAUGCAAUAUGAAUGAAUCUCACCAACAUAAUGUUUUGUGAAAGAAGUAAGGCUCAACAAACAACAGCCAAGCCAAGGGCCAAAUCAGGAAUGCAAUCUCAUUUACAAUUGCCACAUAAAGAAUAAAAUAUCUAGGAAUAUAGCUAAUCAAGGAGGUAAAGAUCUCCACAAUGGGAAUUACAAAACACUGCUCAAAGGAAUCAGAGAUGACACAAACAAAUGGAAAAACAUCUCAUGCUCGUGGGUAGGAAGAGUUAAUACCAUGAAAAUGGUCCUACUGCCCAAAGCAAUUUACUGAUUCAAUGUUAUUCCUAUUAAACUACCAAUGACAUUCUUCACAGAACUAGAAAAAACUAUUUUAAAAUUCAUUUGGAAGCAAAAAAUAGCCCAAAUAGCCAAGGCAAUGCUAAGCAAAGGAGCAAAGCUGGAGACAAUAUGUUACCUGACUUCAAACUAUACUACAGGACUGCAAUAACCAAAACAGCAUGGUACUGGUACAGGAACAGACACAUAGACCAAUGGAACAGAUGAGAGAGCCCAGAAAUAAGGCCACACACCCAGGACCAUCUGAUCUUUGACAAAGCUGACAAAAACAAGCAAUGGGGAAAGGAGUUCCUACUCAAUAAAUGGUUCUGGGAUCACUGGCUAGCCAUGUGCAGAAGAUUGAAACUGGACCCCUUUUUUAGACUGUAUACAAAAAUCAUCACAAGAUGGAUUAAAGACUUAAAUGUAAAACCCCAAACCAUAAAAACCCUGGAAGACAACCUAGGCAAUAUCAUCCUGGACAUAGGAAUGUGGAAAUAUUUUAUUAAAAAGCCAUUAAAAACAAUCACAACCAAAGCAAAAAUUUACAAAUGGGAUCUAAUUAAACUUAAGAGUUUUGGCCGGGCAUGGUGGCUCACUCCUGCAAUCCCAGCACUUUGGGAGGCCAAAGUGGGUGGAUCACCGGAGGUCAGGAGUUCAAGUCAACUUGCUGAAACCCCGUCUCUACUAAAAAUACAAAAAAAAUUAGCUGGGCAUGGUGGCAGGCACCAGUAAUCCCAGCUACCCGGGAGGCCGAGGCAGGAGAAUCACUUGAACCCGGGAGGCUGAGGUUGCAGUGAGCCGAGAUCACACCAUUGUACUCCAGCCUGGGUGACAGAGUGAGAAUCCAUCUCAAAAAAAAAAAAAAAAAAAAAAGAGUUUCUACACAGCAAAAGAAACUAUCAACACAGUAAACAGACACCCUACAGAAUGGGAAAAAAUAUUUACAAACUAUGUAUCUGACAAAGGUCUAAUAUCCAGCAUCUAUAAGGAACUUAAAUGAACUUACAAGAAAAACAACUCGAUUAAAAAGUGGGAAAAGAACAUGAACAGAUACUUUUCUAAAGAAGACAUACAUGUGGCCAACAAGCAUAUGCAAAACAACUCAAUCACUGAUCAUUAGAGUAAUACAAAUUAAAACCACAAUGAGAUACCAUCUCACAGCAGUCACAGUGGCUAUUACUAAAGUCAAAAAAUAACAGAUGCUGGCAAGGUUGUAGAGAAAAAGGAAUACUUAUACACUGUUGAUGGGAGUGUAAAUUAGUUCAACCAUUGUGGAAAGCAGCUUGACAAUUCCUCAAAAAACUAAAAGCAGAACUACAAUUCAACCCAGCAAUCCAAUUACUGGGUAUAUACUCAGAGGAAUAUAAAUCAUUCCACCAUAAAGACACAUGCAUGCAAAAGUUCACUACAGCACUAUUCACAAUAGCAAAGACAUGGAAUCAACCUAAAUGCCCUUCAAUGACAGACUGGAUAAAGAAAAUUUGGUACAUAUACACCACAGACUACUAUGCAGCCAUAAAAAAGAACAAGAUCAUGUCUUUUGCGGGAACAUGGAUGAUGGAGCUGGAAGCCAUUUUUCUUAGCAAACUCAUGCAGGAACAGAAAACCAAACACAUUUUUUCACUUAUAAGCGGAAGCUAAAUGAUGAGAACUCAUGAAUACAAAGAAGGGUACAGCAGACACUGGGGCUUACUUGAGAGUAAAGGGUGGGAGGAGGGAGGGGAGCAGAAAAAAAUAACAAUUGGGUACUAGGCUUAGUACCUGGAUGACAAAAUAAUCUGUACAACCAACCCCCUUGACAUGAGAUUACCUAUAUAACAAAUCUGCCCAUGUACCCACAAACCUAAAAUAAAAAAGAAAAGAAGGCGCAAAUGAAUACAUACAUAUGGUAUGGUAUCAUUUAUAUGGAGUUCAGAACAGGCAAAAUUAAUCUAUCAUGAAAGAGGUCAGAACAGUGGGAGGGGCACCAAGGUGGAGGAGACAUUAGAAAGUCUAUUGGAGUGCUAAGAAUGUUUUACAUCUUGAUCUUGGUUGUGGUAUGUAGUUACAUACAUACAUAUGUUUAUUCAUUGGGCUGAUAUUUAAGAAUAUAUGCUUGUUGUAUGAACGUUAUACCUUAAUUUUAAAGAAAGCAAGUAUUAGCCACAUAGGAAUUGAUAAAUUUGACUACAUAAAGAUAAAUUAUAACCCUAGGACUAACAACAUUUAACUCUUAAGCUUUGGUAUUUUUUGUUUGUUUGUUCAUUCAUUUUCCCCCUGUAUCCUCUGUUCAAUGUUAGCUGCCACAGUGAGACAAACAGAAAGUAUAAGGACACUUUUUGCUUGCAUCUGUAGUGGAAACCUUAGCAGCAGACAGUAACUGCUCCAGGUCUGUCAAAUAGAUAUGUUUCUUUUUUACUACAUUUGAUUUAUUUUCCUUUUAUUUUAAUUGACUGUAAUAAUAGUAUGUAUUUAUAGUAUACAGGGUGAUAUUUUGAUACAUGUAUACAAUAUAUAAUGUUCAAAUCAGGGUAAUUAGCAAAUCCAUCACCUCAAACAGUAAUCGUUUCUUUGUUGUGGGAACAUUCAAAAUCCUCUCUUCUAGCUUUUUGAAAAUACACAAUAAAUUAUAGUUAACCAUAUUCACCCUACAGUGCACUAGAGCACUAGAACUUAUUCCUCCUAUCUAGCUAUAAUUUUAUAUCUGUUACCCAACAUCUCUCUAUCCUCCCUUCCGCAUCCCACCCUUCCCAGCCUCUAAUAAUCACAAUUCUACUCUGUACAUCUAGAAACCCAACGUUUUUUAGCUCCCACAUAUGAAUGGUGACAUGCGGUAUUUAUCUUUCUGUGCAUUUCACUCAACGUAUUAUCCACCAUGCUCAGCCAUGUUGCUGCAAAUGACAGGAUUUUAUGUUUAUGGCUGCAAACUUCAGAAGGAUUUCCCUCCCAGCUCCACUUGUGGGCUGCUGCUGCCAGAAGCCUCUCUCCGAGGCUUUGGGAAAUUAGCAAUUUUCUGGUGGCAAUAACCAUUAGAAACCCUGAUUUGAAUAUUAUUAUCUGAGAGAACUCAACUAUUUUUCAAAUCGAAAAUCAAGACAUUUAGUCAGACAUGGAAUGUGCCUGCCUUUUUUUUUUUUUUUUUUUUUUUUGGAGAUGGAGCCUCGCCUUGUCCCCCAGGCUGGAGUGCAGUGGCGCGAUCUCAGCUCACUGCAAACUCCGCCUCCCAGGUUCACGCCAUUCUCCUGCCUCCGCCUCCCUAGUAGCUAGGACUGGAGGAGCCCGCCACCACAUCCAGCUAAUUUUUUUUAUUUUUAGUAGAGACUGGGUUUCACCGUGUUAGCCAGGAUGGUCUCACCUCGUGAUCCGCCCGCCUCGGCCUCCCAAAGUGCUGAGAUUACAGGGGAGAGCCACAAAUGUUCCGCUUUUAAAAUAAGAAAACUGAAACAAAAAGUUAAAUUACUUCCUAAGAACAGGCAGCAAGACCUGACACACAAUAAAAUCGAAUGUUUUCAAAUUCCAGAAGCUUGAAAUGUACCAAGUUUAGAUUUGGGGGUAUGCAUUUAACAAAGGAAAACUCAGGUAUUUCCCUUGAUCAGAGUAUAGGAUACAAAUAUUACUGAAAAGGUAACUAAGAAGUAUCUUUUUUUUUUUUUUUUUUUUUUUUUUGGUCAUCUAAAAUCGUCAAAUUAUAUAGAGAGGAAAAGCACAAUACAUACAGUUUUUAGGAAGUAAUCACAAAUUCUCUCUUAGGAUGGUGAUUCUUAUCCUUCUUUUAGGGGUGAAUGCCAUCACACCCACAUGUCUUCCCAGUCUCUUUAUUGUCCUCAAUCAAUUUCCCAUUAUUAUCUCCCGAGAGAUCAGCACUUUAUCUGCCCCAGAUGGGAUGGUGGUGGCAAAAUGCAUAAGCCAUAGUCUUAAAGUAGCAAGGCUUAUGCUUCACACCCAAUUACCUGUAGCACAGUCUAUACCUAAACACUCAGGAUGAAUUAAUGCUCACACUAUACUUCAGAUGGCUAUAAGUACAGUAAGCUAUACUUACUGUAGUAUCUUUGACCUCCAAGAAGAGGUCUCUGAAGAAGGGUGAAGAAUGCAGGGGGAACCAGAAAAUUAUUUGGCUGAUUAUGUUAUCACCAUCACUAUUUAUGAAAUACCUCUUAAUGUGGCUUCAGGCAGAAGCACACGUUUUCAAUUUGGAAGUUAAAAUAGCUUCGAUUGUGCUUUAUCUAAGCUGCCUACCACAAAUCUGAUAAUGAUACAUGUCUCUUUUAACAUGGACAGCAUUGCUCUUCGUGGCCCACACUCACAAGAUGACAAGUUAAAAUAGUAACAACAGGCUUCUUUUAUUGUUCCUCCUAGGCUACAACUAAAAUGCAAAAACAAAACAAAAUGAAACAAAAAACUGGGGGAGGAGGAAUUUUCAAUUUUCAAUAUUUUGCAAACUGUGUCUAAAUUGAUGAUCCAGAUCUCAUCUCAUGACCUGAAGAAGUUCAGUUUUUCUAUUGUAAAAUGUAAAUCUCAGCCCACCUCCCCAAAGCAUAUGAUAAUGAAUUAUGUGAAAGAAAACAUUAUAUAAAACAAAAUGCUCCAGAAACAGGGUGUUGUAAUUGACUCACGUUUCUCCAUGAAUUCCUUCUUGCUUUCUACUCCUGUCAUUGGAAACUUUCUGAAAAUCAGUUGUCUUUCCAACCUUGAUAUUUAGAAUAUAACUAAAAAUGUCCUUAGUGGUUGAAGCUCCCUUGUGGGUUAAUUCCUCAUUCUGAAAUCAGUGAUCAGUCCAUGCUACUGCAAGGGUAGAAAACAUAAUAGAAAGUACAAGAAAUUAUUGAUGCCUUAAAUAUCCUGAAAGCUAUUAUUUUUUCAUUUAAUUCCUAACACAAACACUUUCUUUAGUGAUUGCUCUCUUCCUCUAAAGCCCAACGUAGGUGUGGCAGCGAUGUUUGAGUACGGAUAUGGGUAUGCGUGAGAAGAAGGAAUGAACAAUUUGGCUAUCAAGACUUCCAGUCAAUUGAAAUUUGCUCCAUUAUAGACUGAACUACUAUAUUCCUUUUUUAAAUUAUUAUUUUUUAACUUUUAUUUUAGGUUCAAGGGUACAUGUGCAGGUUUGCUAUACAGGUAAACUCAUGUCACAGGUGUUGUUGUACAGAUUAUGUCGUCACCCAGGUACUAAGCCUAGUACCCAAUAGUUAUUUCUGAUGUCAACUUUUCUGAAUAGACAGUGGCUCUUUGUCUUACUCUUACUAACUUUGCUAAUAAUAAUACAAUUGGGUGGUCCUUUGGACUCAAUUUUGUCCCAACCCUAAAAAAAAAUUUAUUUCUUGAAGUCCUAACCCUCAGUGUGAUGGUAUUUGGGGGCAAGGCCUUUGGGAAGCAAUGAGGUUUAGGUGAGGUCAUGAGGGUUGGGCUCACAUGAUGGAAUUAGUAUCAUUAUAAGAAGAGACAACAGGCCAGGCAUGGUGGCUCACACCUGUAAUCCCAGCACUUUGGGAAGCCAAGGUGGGCGGAUCACAAAGUUAAGAGAUCAAGACCAUCCUGGCCAACAUGGUGAAACCCAUUCUCUAUUAAAAAUACAAAAAUUAGCUGGUCGUGGUGGCACACACCUGUAGUCCCAGCUACUCAGGAGGCUGAGGAAGGAGAAUCACUUGAACCUGGGAGGUGGAGGUUGCAGUGAGCUGAAAUCACGCCACUGCACUCCAGCCUGGCGACAGUGAGACUCUGUCUCAAAAAAAAAAAAAAAAGACACAACAAAGAGCUUGCUCACUCUUUCUGUCCCUGCACUUGUGCACACAAAGAAGAGGUCAUAUGAACACACAGUGAGAUGACAGCUGUCUGCAAACCAGGAAGAGAGUCCUCAACAGAACCUAAUCAUGCUGGCACCCUAAUCUCAUACUUCUAGCCUCCAGAACUGAGAGAACAUAAACUCCAGUUGUUUAAGCUACCCAGUCUAUGGUAUUUGUUAUUAUAGCCCAAGCUAAGUCAGGUGGAAAGGCAGAAAUAUUUUGAGAAGAGUCAUUUCUACAAAAACAGAGUUGUUCUAAAUGAAAUGGCCAGAUAUUUCAUCUUCUUCAUACUAGUAUUUAUGAAAGUUUCAUUAAACACCACUUGGCCAGCACCCAGGCCUGCCACCCUCAGAACGGCAAACAAAAGCAAAUGAUUUGAGGAACAAAAGAGUGGACACAGAGCCUCUCAGAAGAUGGCUCCAUCUUCUGAGAUGAUCUUCUGAGAUCAUCAAUUUUCUGCACCUGAUGUCCUACUCCAAUUGUAGUAGAUAAGAGCAAAGACACUUCCUGAUCCUGUGGAAAAUGCUGGAGCCCUGCUGAUGGAGAGGCUGACACUGGGACCAACAGAAGGCCGGACAUUUAUUUGCUGCAGCCCUUCUGCACCUGGGCCCUCUUCAGGCCUUGUACCUUGCACUCCCCAUGCCACUGUAGCACCUGGUAAGCUGAAGUUAGGUAUUUGAAGAGAUAAUUUGCCCCCAACAAAGAAUUACUUAAAAGAAAAAGGAAACCACUAAAUUCCACUUGACAAACCAGUUUGUUCAGUUUUGACUUUUGCAAAUUUGAAACUUUCUCUUUGGCACCAUAUGAUUCUGUUACAUUAGGGCUCAUCAAUGCUAAGAUACACAGCUAGGUCUACCAGCUGCCAGUGGUCAAGAAUGAAAGAACCUCUCAGAGAGAGAUCAGUUUCUAAUAACCUAACAGUUUUCCUUGGCUAUUACAAAAAAAAAAAAAAUUAGAAUAAAAUGUCAGUGCCAUGCAGGCAAGUACAGAUAUGGAAAUGAAAGCUCUGUCUACAACUGCAAGAUUUGUUUGUUAAUAAAAUUGAUUGGGAUCAACUCGAGAUAACUGCUAGAAGACGCAAGAUUUUACUUUUAGAUAUGUCAUUUGUUUUUGUUUCCACUCUGGGCUCAAAAGAAACGUUGCUAAUGUUUUUCCAGUGGCACAAUGCAGUUCUAGAAGAGUUAAAAUAAGAAACCCUACCUGCUUAAUCUGCCAGAAAACACAUGAGAGGAGCAAUCAACUCUGGGAAGAGUUGCUCUGAAUGAGGUGCCCUGAUCAUAUUUACCAGUGGGUCAGAUUCCUCUAAGAUGUAACAGCUGUGUAAAGGAACACAGGCUACAACCUUUGCCAGAAAGACUGUCGCCAAAGUCAUCUGACCAUCAGAUCUGGAGGUGUGAGACAGAAGACAAAUGUGAGGACAACCGGGAACAGGAGGAAUAAGCUACUGAAGUAAGAAGAUACCAGUCCUCGUCCCCUGACACACACAGAAAGUCACUGAUGGCAUUCAGAUACAAACAGAGCAAAGGGAUCAAUGGUCCACGGACCCUGCUCUUUCCCGGGGUGCUAUUCCAGUGGCCAGAGGAACCUCCCAUCACUUCAGACUUUUGUUUUAUUUGUUGUUGUCGUUAUUUUUGGUCUUCUAUCAUUGACUCAUAGCUCUCUCACACAUUUUAAUGUAUUCGCUGCAUCAGACCCAGAAAAACAUUUGCCUGGUGUGUGAAAGAGCCUCUGAUUACAGAAUGAACUUUGUCUCUCCAUAAUUUGAAGAAGUUAAGGAAGGUCCCCACCCAAAUGUUAUGUCCUAUUUUGAUGCUCAAAAUCUUAGUAAAAUCACAGUGCAAAGGAAAGAGCACUGACUUUGGCAUCACACAGAUGAAACUUGGCUCUGCUAUUCUCUUGUAUUAUUGUGGGUAUGGCAUCUCUGACAUGAGGAUAAUAAUCAUUCUUCAUAAGGCUGUCUUAAUGAGUAAAGAUAACACAUAUAAAGUCCUUGGCACAGUGCCUGACACACCGUAGAUAACAUUAUAAUAAUAACAAUAAUUAUUAUUACCUUUAUUGCUAAGCAUUGCUGUUUCCCUUGGUUCUCUCUUAAAAUGCCACUGUUGGCCGGGUGCGGUGGCUCACACCUGUAAUCCCAGCACUUUGGGAGGCAGAGGCUGGCGGAUCACGAGGUCAGGAGAUCGAGACCAUCCUGGCUAACACGGUGAAACCCCGUCUCUACUAAAAUUACAAAAAAUUAUCCGGGCGUGGUGGCGGGUGCCUGUAGUCCCAGCUACUUGGGAGGCUGAGGCGGGAGAAUGGCGUGAAUCCAGGAGGUGGAGCUUGCAGUGAGCUGAGAUCGGCCUGGGCGACAGAGCGAGACUCUGUCUCCAAAAAAAAAAAAAAAAAAAAAAAAAAAAAUGCCACUAUUGAUGGUGUGGGUAACAUAUUAAGUCCCUACUGUCUCUGUGUGAAUGAAGGUUUCUUUCCUCUCUGUGGCCAGGGCGGUAUUGAUAGCACAAGCCCCUUUGGCAGGAAGAAUACUUCAAAGGAGGCAGUGGAUUGCCACAAAGACACUUGACUUAAUUCACAAUUUUGUCUAAGGUUAUCCACCCCAAAGUAGUUAACAUUCCCCAUUCAGUAAUUUUGCCCCUGCCAAGUGACAUACUGAAACAAAAAUCUUAAAAAAAAAAAAAAAAGAAAAACCUGUUUGUCCAAGUGUAAAAAACCUAUAAAAGCACUGCAAAUGAAGCAAACACUGUAUGCAGACUAUUAAAAAUGUGUCAUGAUUUUUAACUGUUUUCAAAUCUCUAACCACCCUGCCUACCUCCACCUGCCAAAAUACUGGAGGUGCCUCACAGAUCAUUUCAAGGCAUCUCCUGCCACCUCAUUUCUUGUCUGCAGAAAUGGAUAAGGGAUUGUUUGGGUUUUGUAUCUCACGUGAAAGUUCAAGUCAUAUUUACUUGAUUUAAAAUUAUCUGCUUGUUCAUUUACAGAGGUGGGAAUGUUGGCAGGCUUCAAAGACGGAAACCAGAAAUAUCAGAGACUCACUGAAACCCAAGGAUCUGGAUUAGAAAACACAUACAGCAUUCUUAAAAGUUAAAAGAAGUUGAGUAGCUAUUUGUUUAUAGACUAACUCAUCCAUCUAGAGAUUGAUCUCUUCCAAAUUCUCUGUAAUUCUGUUACUGUGUUAUUCAUGAAGAGCUGUGGCAUUGUGUUUCAGAAAUUACCAACCAGUCAGCACUGAUGGGUAUGUAUUUUUCUUGCUCACUCAGUGGCAAGAAACAUAUAUAAUAAAUUCUUAGGAACUUUAUCUCUUUCAGUUAGGGUCAAAAUAACUGCUGACUCAAUGACUUGCCACAAAAUUAUUCCUGGGUAGAAGGGAGAACCACCUUCUACAGAAAAGAAGUAUUUCAAUACUUCAGCAUUUCCAACAAGAAAGAGAGGUACCAAUGAGAACAAAAUAAGAAACUACGUUCUAUGACUGAGAAAUUGUUUCUAAAUAUUUUUCUACUAUUUUUAAUUUGUUUCCAAUGGAAAGAUAGCAACAGAUUAACUGCUCACAUGCCCAUUUGAUUUUUUUAAAAAAUUAAAUAAACUUAUUUUACUUUUAUGGUUGCAGAUAGGAAUUAUUAACCAUCUGUCUUUGUAUUAUUUAAACUUUAAACAAAUAAACAUUAUUGUACAACCAGAAAGCAGUUAUUCAUAGACUUGUACAUUUAUUCCCCAGUAAUUUUUCUUUGCUGUUUAAAAAGAGCCUAAAGCUAGCAUCAUUUAAAUUAUUUUUAAAAUUCAUUACCUACAAUACUAAGAAAAACAGAUGAUAAUACAGUAUGUCAUUGUAAAUGAAAAAGGCCUUGAAGAGUUUUUUUUAACUUACUAGAAGCUUCAAUUAUCUCCUUUUGAGGAAAUAGUUAAGAAGAAAAAAUGACAACCUCAAUCAACUCACACUGUUAAAAGAAAUGAGGGUGGCACCAACAACUACCAGUUGACAGUUCUGCUAGUGCUCUUACAUAGGCAAGGAUCUUCUCAUGUGAGAACAGCAUAUGGAUAAAUCAAGUAUUUUUUUUACUUCUCUACUUCUUCAAACACAGAAACAAGUACACCUCUAGAUUCAAACACUAGAUCAUAGAAAAUAAAUGGAAAAACAGUUUUUUGCCAUGUAGGGCAGAGAAUAGAGGAAAAAUUGGAGUAAACAGGUGGAAAGACAAGUCUUAAGAUAUCCAAAGAGUAUGUUUUGACCCCAAUUUAUUGAAAUUAGAGAAAUACCCUAAAGAACAGAAGUCAGAAUAAACCAGCCAAAAGAAAAUCUUUAUUGAAAACACUCUGAUAUGCACUCCAGCCCAGUUACAGACAUUAUCAUCUUGGCUAUAGCCAAAGCCCAGUGUGAUAGAUUGUGUCUAAGAUGGCUUCCAAUGACCUGAACCUUUUGAUAUUUAUGUCCUUGUACAACCCCCUCCUUUGAAUAUUGUCUGGACCUGGGAACUCACUUAAAAAUGACAGAUGUCACAAAAAUACUCUGGCUCCUGUCUUGCUUAUCCUUUCUUGCCCUCUUGCUUGCUUUAAUGGAAGUCAUGUGCCAGGUUAUAAACUCCCCUAUGGGGAGGCCUACGUGGCAAGAAAUUGACAAAGGCCAAUGGCCAGGGAGUAACUAAGGUCUUCAGUCUAGCAACCACAAGGAAGUGAAUCCUGCCAAAUAUCAGAUGAGUCACCUUGGAAGUGGAUCCUCCCUCAGGCCUUGCCAUCAGUUGGAUCAGCAGCCCCACUGAUAUCUCAAUUGCAUCCUUGUGAGAGAUCCAGAGCCAGAGGAUCUAGUUAAGCUGUAUCCAAAUUCCUGACUCAGGGAAGUUGUGAGGUUAAUAAAUGUUUGUUGCUUUAAGCUACAAAGUUCUGGAAUAAUUAGUUACACACAAAUAGAUAACUAAUACAGCCUGUUUUCCGAAGCCAUUGAAUCAAAGUAUUUUCUAUAAUGAGGUUCAAAUGUCCCCCUAAAUCUUGUACAGCAAUUCUACUGCUAAAUUCUCCACUGGCUUUAAAAAGCAUUAUUCCUUUAAGAAUUAUAGUGUCAUAAUAAUUCACAACCUCUUUCUGUAAAGUCUUUAAACUAUCUGUGUAUAAAAGAUUCUGGACUGUUUAGCAACACACAAAUAAUAUCUUAAAAUAACUCCAAUGUGGAAACUGAAUUCAACAGAGAUACAUAUUGUCUCUGGGACAGUUAUAGAAUGUACAGAAUAUGUCCAUGGGAACUAAGUUUAACAUUUAAAGAUUCCAAUCAUAAGAAAUCUGAUAUCUCACCCUGUCUCAAAAAAAACAAGAAAAAGAAAUCUGAUAUCUCACUAAAUGUACAGAUAUAGGAAAAAUAAAUGCGUUUUGAUAUGCAGAGAAUGUAGCUUAUUGUUGCUAAAAGAGUAAAACAAAAACACAGUAGGAGGACUUUUUUUAAAGAAUAAGUUGAGUUUUUAUUAAGGUUUAAUACAGAUAAGCCAAUAAAUUAUAAUAUUCAAUAGAUUUUUGCCAAAGAAUGUCCCAGUGUAACCAUCAUCUACAAUGAAAUAGAACAUUAUUAGCACCCAGAAGUCCUCCUCACUCCCCAACCAUGUCUAGCUUCUUUCAUUAAACAUUACGUUUGUGAGAUUCUUUCAUAUUGCAUGUAACAUUAGUUUGUUCAUACUCACUGAUAUAUAACAUUCCAUUAUAUGAAUAGAGCACAAACUAAUUAUUCAUUCUGCUACCAAUGAACAUUUGUGUUGUUUCUAAAUUUUGGCAUUAAAACUACUUUGACUAUGAACAUUUU
rnacentral:lncRNA from 1 species